rnacentral:lncRNA from 1 species
UAAUGCUUUUUCUUGUAUUCUUGAGAGUGCUUAGGUAGAGUUACCUAAGUUGAUAUUGGUUAGAGUUAAUCAAUAUUGAGGUGAGUUCUUGGCAGAGUUUUCAAGGUAAGUUUGUAAUAGAGUUGUUACAAAUUGGUGGAGCUUAGAGUUAAGUUCUCAUCAAGUCUAUAAUCAAGAGUUUUAUUAUAGUGGAAUAUUGAGUGCUUGUGAGGGCAAGUCAUAGUUUUUCCUCCCUUGAGCAAGGAGG